rnacentral:rRNA from 1 species
AGUGUAGGUGGUAUCACAAGUCAGAAGUGAAAGCCCGGGGCUCAACCCCGGGACUGCUUUUGAAACUGUGGAACUGGAGUGCAGGAGAGGUAAGUGGAAUUCCUAGUGUAGCGGUGAAAUGCGUAGAUAUUAGGAGGAACACCAGUGGCGAAGGCGGUCUACUGGGCACCAACUGACGCUGAGGCUCGAAAGCAUGGGUAGCAAACA